UGGGUNUUGGUUUAUCAGAUGUUAUCUGCA
rnacentral:piRNA from 1 species